UAUGCCGCUGCCACCUCUUUCCGGCGACCACCAUAGCCCUGCACCAAUUAUAAAUCAGUGGGUAUAAAGCUUAAUUUCUCUUUGUCAAAUCAGUUCUAUAUAAACGUAUAUAUACAUGUGGUGUUGUGUUUAUAUGGUUUAAUUUGAUUUAUAUAAUCGAUUUAUGUGUGCUUGUAUGUAUAUAAACUGAUUAUAUGCUGGUUAUUGAAAUUUGAAGGUUGAUUGAAUUUUUGAGAUUGAGAUUGGUGUUAGUAAUCGUAUGAUUGAAUUGUGUGCUUAAUUGAUAUUUGAAUUGGUUGUUGGAGGUUCAUUAUAAAUGGUGCGCCAACUAGUAGUGUAAUCGGAUGACUUGGGUACUUGAUUUAUGGGAAUAUAUAACUGAGUAUUAAAGCUUUAAGGUCUGAGAUUUUGUGUAAAUGUUUUCAGAAUGGUGUUUUAAGAGUUUAAGUAUUGAGCUAAAAAAAAUUUAGAUUUACACAUAAUCGGUUGAAUUGUAAGUUGCUGCUGAUCUGUUUUGCAGUAAAAUUCUGGGCUUCUAGAGUCGAAUUAUAUGCUUAAUAUUUUUGUGGUUAUGUGCUCCUCAGAGUCUAGUUUAUGUGCGCAAAAGAAUCGAAUCAAUUCGAUUAGCGAGCUAGGAGAUAUGACCGUUUUAGUAUAGUAUGGUGCUGAAAAUUCUGGGCAGGUUUGUCCUGUUCUAGGCUCUGUUUUACUGCUUUAAACUUGAAGUUUCUUUCUGAAAAUUUUACUGUAGGUUGGAAUAAUAUUCAGGAGUGUCUCAUAAAAAUUUUGUAUUUAAAAGAUAAAUUUUCAAUUUAUUAAAAAUCAUAGACCGAGGGCUGUUUGAACUAUUUGUUCUAGUUUUUCUUUCUUUGCUAGUGCAUAGUAUGAGGUUAUACUUGGCUAAUUGCAUAUGAUUGAUUAUUACAUUGAUUGGCUCGGUUAACCUUUAUAUCUAAUUAAACGUGCUUUGCGUAUAACAAAUUAGUAAUCCUGCUAAAAGAUUUUAUUAUAUGUUCACUACAAGUCAAGACAGAUUUUCUGUUCACUGCAAGCCAAGGGAUCUUUUUUUAUAUUAAUAAUUCAUGUGUUAGCAAUGGUAUUGGUUGGUUGUUGGUAUUGCAAACAGGUGGAUAGUCCGAUAAACAGAGGAGAUGAUGCCGAAUUUUCGUUAGGAAUUAUAUGUAUUUAAUGGCUAUAAAAAGGGGUUAUUUGUGCAAUUAUGUGUUAUGUGUUUAUCUGCCUAUGUGGUAUGUAUAUGCGAAGGGUAGAUAUAUAUAGGUCUUAAUACUUUUCAGAGUUAGUUAAUUUGUCUGAUCCGACGGUUAAAAUACUAUUUUACUAUCGUAUAGAAUUGAAGACAUUGACCGAGGCAUUGAUCGAGAAGUGAUUGAAAUGGGUAUCCAGAAUUAGCCAAGUAGUGUUGCAAGUUGAAGUAGGGCGGAGAUUUGUUAUAGAUAAAAGCUUGUCAGAAGCUGGCAGAAAGGAAUGAUAUGGCGGUAUAUAGUAUUAUUAGAAAUCUGACCUAGACACCAGAGUUAAGGCAAGUACUUCUACCUUUCUCUCGCAAUUUAGAAGCAAGUAUUUCUACCCUACUCCUCUAGUACCUAUAGAUACUAAAACCUUCUUUAUAUCAUGAUUCAAAUUAUUUGCAAUUACUUUCUUGUGAAGCAUAUCUAGUACUUUUAAACCUUUUGGUUGAACGGAUAACACUUUUGGUAUCGACUCUACACUAUGAUAUGCAUAAAGAAAUUGUUUUAACAAAAUGUUGUUCUGGCUCUUGAAUUACAUGAUAGAACUGCAGAUUGUUUUAAAAAUUAAACUGUUGGGUUGUUUUUGCGUAAGAGGCUCGGGCACCGGCCCAGCGUGAAAGGUGGCUCCUUAAGCCCGGAUUACCGGAAUUCGUAAUAUUUGUCAACCUUGCUGAAUAAGCUUGGUUUAUGGACUAUAGCAUGACUGAUCAUCUGUUAUAGCCAGGUGUCCAAUUAAUUUUAAAGCCCAAUAAAAUUGUGAAUAGUUUAAAAAGAAGUUACCCUGCCUUCAAGAGAUAUUUGCUUAUACAUUCAUUUCUGCAGUUUUAAAUAUUUUCACUUCUUUAUUAUGGCAUUGCUGUACAACAAAUAUCAAUUUCAUUUUGUUAUUCUUGCUGAGCAUUAUUGCUCAUUCUUGCUAUUCCUUCUAACCCUUUUCAGCUAGGAAUAAAGAUGAUUCACUUAAGACUAGGCAAGGAUUGCAAGUGGUUGAGUUUCAAGCAGAUGGACAGGUAGAGUAUUUAGGACGAUGUCAUUAAGACUAGAUGCAGUUGGAGUUCUGCAAUUCAAUUCAGUUGGAAAUUAGAUUUGUUUAUUUGGUUAUCAGCUACUCUUCUUAUCGAGGUUUAGCUGAUAAUGUUGUUUAAUUUGUAAAUAAGAUUUUAUAGUUUUAGUUUCUGAUUUCAAUGCUGUAGCCUGUAUGCGAUCCUGUUUUCAGGGGGUGAAAUUGAUUUUGAAUUAAAGACCUUCUUUUAAAAAAAUAAUAUCCAGGUUUAGAAAUACUUGUUUUUACUUUCUUCCAAAAAUACAGGUUUUAAAUUGUUUUUCUUUUAAUGGCUCAAAACUACAGGUUUUAAAUUAUUUUUAUUUACACGUGGCACCAGAUCUAGACCCCCGGAUUUGAGGGAUGUCACAGUUGGUAUCAGAGCUACAGGUUAUAAGUUAUUGAAAUCAGAAUGUAGGUUGUAACUUGUCUAAUAAGAUAGACACGUUAAGUGAAACCUCACAUAUAGGUAAGUUCAGAUUAGUGGUGUAACCUCAUAUAGAGGUAUCGUAAGACUAUUUGGGGAUAGUCCUUUUGAGCAUAAUAAAAUGAAGCUAAACGAUUAUGUUUAAGUGAUUAUGGUUAUAGACACAACAAUUCCUAAUUCUAGUUCUUCCAGUCCCUAGUGGCCUAGUUUAUUGACCAAUUCAGAUUUAUAUCAUUGUAAGAGGGUCAAAGUUAGACCUAUCAACAGAACCUUCAAGCUAGAACCAGUAGAGAUUCUCACACAGUCUAAUGUAUCCUUUAUAGUAUCUUCCAAGUGUUGAGUAUUAUUUGAAGAGUCACCUUUUGAUUCUUGUCAGAGAUAUCUAGAAUUGGUGAAAGAAUAGAGGUGUUAACAAGUCCGAGUUUACAGCUUUGUAUAUAGUUAAGUAGUGAGCGUUAGAGCUACGUAGAGUUUGUGUUAGAUUAUUCGAUCUAGUACUUAUGUGUGAGUUAAGAUGUCAACGCUCUAUGGUGAUGAUUGUAUAAAGUUGGAUAAGACUUUUGACCGACAACGAUAUCAAUGAUGGGAUCUUCAGAGGCUAUUACUAGUCAACGAUAAUAUAUGCAAGUGGUCACUAAAACGUCAAGAAAAAUCACUAGAAUCAGAACGAGUCAUCAAAAGAAUCGAUCAAAAAGACAUCUGUGAGAAUCCUGGCAAUACCUUCCUCAUUGUUGAUAUAUUGAUUUCUUUCCCCAUCAAUGAUUUGUUCUGACAUCACUUUAAAAAAAAAAAAUAUUUGAUAAAGAGUAUAUUUUUACCUUUCACUCGAGUUCUCGAAUGAUACUUGUGCUUACUGUCACACCUAUAGAAUCUAUUCAAUCUUGGUAAUUUCGAACCCUUUCAUAUUCUUUACUCUAACUGAGAUGAACAACCCUACCUAUAGGGGACACAAGGACUACCUGUCUGUGUGAUAGGAGUUGGAUGGGACGCCAUCACUUGUGUGUGUUGUACAUUACAAGAAGGUUAACUACCUUUAGUAGUGUCUUAAAUUAGACACGCAACACCGAGUUCUAUAGACCAUAUUGAUCUCUCAGUUAUUCAUUUAUUUCAAUCACGUAACACUUGCUCCAAUAUGUGAAAUCUGUCAUAUCUUUUACCUUCAAGAUUCUUCUAAUCUCUAAUAGUUGGAGGUAUGCCAACCGAGUUGCCAAUAUGAAUUAAGACUUUGUAGUAAGAAGCACCAGGGAUGAAAGCGAAUGACAAUGCUGGUUAUAUCAGAAAGGAAUAUUAUGGAUUAUAGAGAUCGUACACUCUAGUUUUCUUUUUGAUGAUUCCGAGGACGGAAUCUUUUUAAGGGGGGUAGAUUGUGACGACCCGGAUUUUCAGAAAUUAUUUUAUUAUUUUUAUUCAUGAUUAUUCGAGACAAAUGAGGAAUAAAUUUCAAUAUUUUAUUCUAGUUUGAUAAUUUUCAAAAAUAUUUGUUUAAAUUAUUUUCCUAGUCAUUGUGAUUAUGAGAAAAUAUCUGUUGAUUGUACAAUUAUAUGUUACGAGAUUUAAUUGAAUUAGUUGUCUACUAUUAUGUCUGUGUGUGCAUUUAUUUUUACUUUUAAUAUUACUGUAUUGUUUUAUUGAAAUUUAUUAUCCUCUUAAAUGGAUAUUUAUUUUUGUAAAAAUACAAAGAUAAUUUCAAAAAUUAUUUUAAUUGCUCGAUAGUGAUCAUAAAUAUGUUUAGAAGUUUUUAAAAUAUUAAAAAUCCAAUUUCUACAAGGACAUGAUUUUUAAUUAGUUUCUAAACGCAGCUAACUUCUUAAUUUUGUAUAAAUUUUGAAAAUGCUCUAUAAAUCUUGAAACUUUUAUUUUAUGAGUUUUAUAAUAUUCGGUAAUUUAUAAAAUUAGUUUGUUAAUUUUUCGAGAAAGUUUUAAUGCGAGUUAUCCCGUAAAUCAACUAAAUAGCGGGUGUUUGGAUGAUUAUUCAGCUUAAAAUAAAACGUGGCAGCCUUUGGCCAAACCACGUGCCCUGCUUUUCACCACCGCCAUCCCUUUUCUUCAUUUUAUAUACAUCAGCCUCUCAAUCUCUCUCUCUCUCUCUCUGUGAAAUCCUCCAUCUCUCCCUCUCCGCUCCUCUUUCUUUUCUCACCCAUCUUCCUCUCUUUCUUGGCAUCACCGUCCCUUCCCUGCAGCCGCCGAAUUAUGCCGUUAUGCCGCUGCCACCUCUUUCCAGCGACCACCAUAGCCCUGCACCAAUUAUAAAUCAGUGGGUGUAAAGCUUAAUUUCUCUUUGUCAAAUCAGUUCUAUAUAAACGUAUAUAUACAUGUGGUGUUGUGUUUAUAUGGAUUAAAUUGAUUUAUAUAAUCGAUUUAUGUGUGCUUGUAUGUAUAUAAACUGAUUAUAUGCUGGUUUUUGAAAUUUGAAGGUUGAUUGAAUUUUUGAGAUUGAGAUUGGUGUUAGUAAUCGUAUGAUUGAAUUGUGUGCUUAAUUGAUAUUUGAAUUGGUUGUUGUAAGUUGAUUAUAAAUAGUGCGCCAAUUAGUAGUGUAAUCGGAUGACUUGGGUACUUGAAUUAUGGGAAUAUAUAACUGAGUAUUCAAGCUUUAAGGUCUGAGAUUUUUGUAAAUGUUUUCAAAGUGGUGUUUUAAGAGUUUAAGUAUUGGGCUAAAAAAAAAUUUUGAUUUACACAUAUUCGGUUGAAUUCUAGAUUGCUGUUGAUCUGUUUUGAAUUACAACUCUGGGAUCAUAGAGUUGAAUUAUAUGCUUAAUAUUUGUGUGGUUAUGUGCUCCUUAGAGUCUAGUUUAUGUGCGCGAAAGAACCGAAUCGAUUCGAUUAGCGAGCUAGGAGAUAUGACCGUUUUAGUAUAGUAUGGUGCUGAAAAUUCUGGGCAGGUUUGUCCUGUUCCAGGCUCUGUUUUACAGCUUUAAACUUGGAUUUUCUUUCUGAAAAUUUUACUGUAGGUUGGAAUAAUAUUUAGGAGUGUCUCAUAAAAAUUUCGUAUUAAAAAGAUAAUUUUUCAAUUUAUUAAAAAUCAUAGACCGAGGGCUGUUUGAACUAUUUGUUCUAUUUUUCUUUCUUUGCUAGUGCAUAGUAUGAGGUUAUACUUGACUAAUUGCAUAUGAUUGAUUAUUACAUUGAUUGGCUCGGUUAACCUUGUAUAUCUAAUUAAAAGUGUUUUGCGUAUAACAAGUUAGCAAUCCUGCUAAAAGAUUUUAUUAUAUGUUUACUACAAGUCAAGACAGAUUUUCUUAUGUGUUUACUGCAAGUCAAGGGAUCUUUUUAUAUUAAUAAUUCAUGUGUUAGCAAUAGUAUUGGUUGGUUGUUGGCAUUGCAAACAGGUGGAUAAGCUUAUAAACAGAGGAGAUGCUGCCGAAUUUUCGUUAGAAAUUAUAUGGAUUUAAUGCCUAUAAAAAGGGUUGUUUGUACAACUAUGUGCUAUGUGUUUAUGUGACUGUGGUAUGUAUAUGCGAAGGGUAGAUAUAUAUAUAGGUCUUAAUGCAAUUCAGGGUUAGUCAAUAUGUCUAAUCCGACGACUGAAAUACUAUUUUAUCAUCGUAUAGAAUUGAAGACAUUGACCGAGGCAUUAAUCGAGAAGUGAUUGAAAGGGGUAUUCAGAAAUAGCCAAGCAGAAUGUUACAAGUUGAAGUAGGACGGAGAUUUGUUAUAGAUAAAAGUGUGUCAGAAGCUGGCAGAAAGGAAUGAUUAUGCGGUAUAUAGUGUUACUAGGAAUCUGAGCUAAACUUUGGAGUUAAGGCAAGUACUUCUACCUUCUCUCGCAAUUUAGAAGCAAGUAUUUCUACCCUACUCCUCUAGUACCUAUAGAUACUAAAACCUUCUUUAUAUCAUGAUUCAAAUUAUUUGCAAUUACUUUCUUGUGAAGCAUAUCUAGUACUUUUAAACUUUUUGGUUGAACGGAUAACACUUUUGGUAUCAACUCUACACUAUGAUAUGCAUAAAGAAAUUGUUUUAACAAAAUGUUAUUCUGGCUCUUGAAUUACAUGAUGGAACUGCAGAUUGUUUUAAAAAUUAAACUAUUGGGUUGUUUUUGCGUAAGAGGCUCGGGCACCGGCCCAGCGUGAAAGGUGGCUCCUUAAGCCCGGAUUACCGGAAUUCGUAAUAUUUGUCAACCUUGCUGAAUAAGCUUGGUUUAUGGACUAUAGCAUGACUGAUCAUCUGUUAUAGCCAGGUGUCCAAUUAUUUUUAAAGCCCAAUAAAAUUGUGAAUAGUUUAAAAAGAAGUUACCCUGCCUUCAAGAGAUAUUUGCUUAUACAUUCAUUUCUGCAGUUUUAAAUAUUUUCACUUCUUUAUUAUGGCAUUGCUGUACAACAAAUAUCAAUUUCAUUUUGUUAUUCUUGCUGAGCAUUAUUGCUCAUUCUUGCUAUUCCUUCUAACCCUUUUCAGCUAGGAAUAAAGAUGAUUCACUUAAGACUAGGCAAGGAUUGCAAGUGGUUGAGUUUCAAGCAGAUGGACAGGUAGAGUAUUUAGGACGAUGUCAUUAAGACUAGAUGCAGUUGGAGUUCUGCAAUUCAAUUCAGUUGGAAAUUAGAUUUGUUUAUUUGGUUAUCAGCUACUCUUCUUAUCGAGGUUUAGCUGAUAAUGUUGUUUAAUUUGUAAAUAAGAUUUUAUAGUUUUAGUUUCUGAUUUCAAUGCUGUAGCCUGUAUGCGAUCCUGUUUUCAGGGGGUGAAAUUGAUUUUGAAUUAAAGACCUUCUUUUAAAAAAAAAAAAUAUCCAGGUUUAGAAAUACUUGUUUUUACUUUCUUCCAAAAAUACAGGUUUUAAAUUGUUUUUCUUUUAAUGGCUCAAAACUACAGGUUUUAAAUUAUUUUUAUUUACACGUGGCACCAGAUCUAGACCCCCGGAUUUGAGGGAUGUCACAGUUGGUAUCAGAGCUACAGGUUAUAAGUUAUUGAAAUCAGAAUGUAGGUUGUAACUUGUCUAAUAAGAUAGACACGUUAAGUGAAACCUCACAUAUAGGUAAGUUCAGAUUAGUGGUGUAACCUCAUAUAGAGGUAUCGUAAGACUAUUUGGGGAUAGUCCUUUUGAGCAUAAUAAAAUGAAGCUAAACGAUUAUGUUUAAGUGAUUAUGGUUAUAGACACAACAAUUCCUAAUUCUAGUUCUUCCAGUCCCUAGUGGCCUAGUUUAUUGACCAAUUCAGAUUUAUAUCAUUGUAAGAGGGUCAAAGUUAGACCUAUCAACAGAACCUUCAAGCUAGAACCAGUAGAGAUUCUCACACAGUCUAAUGUAUCCUUUAUAGUAUCUUCCAAGUGUUGAGUAUUAUUUGAAGAGUCACCUUUUGAUUCUUGUCAGAGAUAUCUAGAAUUGGUGAAAGAAUAGAGGUGUUAACAAGUCCGAGUUUACAGCUUUGUAUAUAGUUAAGUAGUGAGCGUUAGAGCUACGUAGAGUUCGUGUUAGAUUAUUCGAUCUAGUACUUAUGUGUGAGUUAAGACGUCAACGCUCUAUGGUGAUGAUUGUAUAAAGUUGGAUAAGACUUUUGACCGACAACGAUAUCAAUGAUGGGAUCUUCAGAGGCUAUUACUAGUCAACGAUAAUAUAUGCAAGUGGUCACUAAAACGUCAAGAAGAAUCACUAGAAUCAGAACGAGUCAUCAAAAGAAUCGAUCAAGAAGACAUCUGUGAGAAUCCUGGCAAUACCUUCCUCAUUGUUGAUAUAUUGAUUUCUUUCCCCAUCAAUGAUUUGUUCUGACAUCACUUAAAAAAAAAAAUAUUUGAUAAAGAGUAUAUUUUUACCUUUCACUCGAGUUCUCGAAUGAUACUUGUGCUUACUGUCAGACCUAUAGAAUCUAUUCAAUCUUGGUAAUUUCGAACCCUUUCAUAUUCUCUACUCUAACUGAGAUGAACAACCCUACCUAUAGGGGACACAAGGACUACCUGUCUGUGUGAUAGGAGUUGGAUGGGACGCCAUCACUUGUGUGUGUUGUACAUUACAAGAAGGUUAACUACCUUUAGUAGUGUCUUAAAUUAGACACGCAACACCGAGUUCUAUAGACCAUAUUGAUCUCUCAGUUAUUCAUUUAUUUCAAUCACGUAACACUUGCUCCAAUAUGUGAAAUCUGUCAUAUCUUUUACCUUCAAGAUUCUUCUAAUCUCUAAUAGUUGGAGGUAUGCCAACCGAGUUGCCAAUAUGAAUUAAGACUUUGUAGUAAGAAGCACCAGGGAUGAAAGCGAAUGACAAUGCUGGUUAUAUCAGAAAGGAAUAUUAUGGAUUAUAGAGAUCGUACGCUCUAGUUUUCUUUUUGAUGAUUCCGAGGACGGAAUCUUUUUAAGGGGGGUAGAUUGUGACGACCCGGAUUUUCAGAAAUUAUUUUAUUAUUUUUAUUCAUGAUUAUUCGAGACAAAUGAGGAAUAAAUUUCAAUAUUUUAUUCUAGUUUGAUAAUUUUCAAAAAUAUUUGUUUAAAUUAUUUUCCUAGUCAUUGUGAUUAUGAGAAAAUAUCUGUUGAUUGUACAAUUAUAUGUUACGAGAUUUAAUUGAAUUAGUUGUCUACUAUUAUGUCUGUGUGUGCAUUUAUUUUUACUUUUAAUAUUACUGUAUUGUUUUAUUGAAAUUUAUUAUCCUCUUAAAUGGAUAUUUAUUUUUGUAAAAAUACAAAGAUAAUUUCAAAAAUUAUUUUAAUUGCUCGAUAGUGAUCAUAAAUAUGUUUAGAAGUUUUUAAAAUAUUAAAAAUCCAAUUUCUACAAGGACAUGAUUUUUAAUUAGUUUCUAAACGCAGCUAACUUCUUAAUUUUGUAUAAAUUUUGAAAAUGCUCUAUAAAUCUUGAAACUUUUAUUUUAUGAGUUUUAUAAUAUUCGGUAAUUUAUAAAAUUAGUUUGUUAAUUUUUCGAGAAAGUUUUAAUGCGAGUUAUCCCGUAAAUCAACUAAAUAGCGGGUGUUUGGAUGAUUAUUCAGCUUAAAAUAAAACGUGGCAGCCUUUGGCCAAACCACGUGCCCUGCUUUUCACCACCGCCAUCCCUUUUCUUCAUUUUAUAUACAUCAGCCUCUCAAUCUCUCUCUCUCUCUCUCUGUGAAAUCCUCCAUCUCUCCCUCUCCGCUCCUCUUUCUUUUCUCACCCAUCUUCCUCUCUUUCUUGGCAUCACCGUCCCUUCCCUGCAGCCGCCGAAUUAUGCCGCUGCCACCUCUUUCCGGCGACCACCAUAGCCCUGCACCAAUUAUAAAUCAGUGGGUAUAAAGCUUAAUUUCUCUUUGUCAAAUCAGUUCUAUAUAAACGUAUAUAUACAUGUGGUGUUGUGUUUAUAUGGUUUAAUUUGAUUUAUAUAAUCGAUUUAUGUGUGCUUGUAUGUAUAUAAACUGAUUAUAUGCUGGUUAUUGAAAUUUGAAGGUUGAUUGAAUUUUUGAGAUUGAGAUUGGUGUUAGUAAUCGUAUGAUUGAAUUGUGUGCUUAAUUGAUAUUUGAAUUGGUUGUUGGAGGUUCAUUAUAAAUGGUGCGCCAACUAGUAGUGUAAUCGGAUGACUUGGGUACUUGAUUUAUGGGAAUAUAUAACUGAGUAUUAAAGCUUUAAGGUCUGAGAUUUUGUGUAAAUGUUUUCAGAAUGGUGUUUUAAGAGUUUAAGUAUUGAGCUAAAAAAAAUUUAGAUUUACACAUAAUCGGUUGAAUUGUAAGUUGCUGCUGAUCUGUUUUGCAGUAAAAUUCUGGGCUUCUAGAGUCGAAUUAUAUGCUUAAUAUUUUUGUGGUUAUGUGCUCCUCAGAGUCUAGUUUAUGUGCGCAAAAGAAUCGAAUCAAUUCGAUUAGCGAGCUAGGAGAUAUGACCGUUUUAGUAUAGUAUGGUGCUGAAAAUUCUGGGCAGGUUUGUCCUGUUCCAGGCUCUGUUUUACAGCUUUAAACUUGGAUUUUCUUUCUGAAAAUUUUACUGUAGGUUGGAAUAAUAUUUAGGAGUGUCUCAUAAAAAUUUCGUAUUUAAAAGAUAAAUUUUCAAUUUAUUAAAAAUCAUAGACCGAGGGCUGUUUGAACUAUUUGUUCUAUUUUUCUUUCUUUGCUAGUGCAUAGUAUGAGGUUAUACUUGACUAAUUGCAUAUGAUUGAUUAUUACAUUGAUUGGCUCGGUUAACCUUGUAUAUCUAAUUAAAAGUGUUUUGCGUAUAACAAGUUAGCAAUCCUGCUAAAAGAUUUUAUUAUAUGUUUACUACAAGUCAAGACAGAUUUUCUUAUGUGUUUACUGCAAGUCAAGGGAUCUUUUUAUAUUAAUAAUUCAUGUGUUAGCAAUAGUAUUGGUUGGUUGUUGGCAUUGCAAACAGGUGGAUAAGCUUAUAAACAGAGGAGAUGCUGCCGAAUUUUCGUUAGAAAUUAUAUGGAUUUAAUGCCUAUAAAAAGGGUUGUUUGUACAACUAUGUGCUAUGUGUUUAUGUGACUGUGGUAUGUAUAUGCGAAGGGUAGAUAUAUAUAUAGGUCUUAAUGCAAUUCAGGGUUAGUCAAUAUGUCUAAUCCGACGACUGAAAUACUAUUUUAUCAUCGUAUAGAAUUGAAGACAUUGACCGAGGCAUUAAUCGAGAAGUGAUUGAAAGGGGUAUUCAGAAAUAGCCAAGCAGAAUGUUACAAGUUGAAGUAGGACGGAGAUUUGUUAUAGAUAAAAGUGUGUCAGAAGCUGGCAGAAAGGAAUGAUUAUGCGGUAUAUAGUGUUACUAGGAAUCUGAGCUAAACUUUGGAGUUAAGGCAAGUACUUCUACCUUCUCUCGCAAUUUAGAAGCAAGUAUUUCUACCCUACUCCUCUAGUACCUAUAGAUACUAAAACCUUCUUUAUAUCAUGAUUCAAAUUAUUUGCAAUUACUUUCUUGUGAAGCAUAUCUAGUACUUUUAAACCUUUUGGUUGAACGGAUAACACUUUUGGUAUCGACUCUACACUAUGAUAUGCAUAAAGAAAUUGUUUUAACAAAAUGUUGUUCUGGCUCUUGAAUUACAUGAUAGAACUGCAGAUUGUUUUAAAAAUUAAACUGUUGGGUUGUUUUUGCGUAAGAGGCUCGGGCACCGGCCCAGCGUGAAAGGUGGCUCCUUAAGCCCGGAUUACCGGAAUUCGUAAUAUUUGUCAACCUUGCUGAAUAAGCUUGGUUUAUGGACUAUAGCAUGACUGAUCAUCUGUUAUAGCCAGGUGUCCAAUUAAUUUUAAAGCCCAAUAAAAUUGUGAAUAGUUUAAAAAGAAGUUACCCUGCCUUCAAGAGAUAUUUGCUUAUACAUUCAUUUCUGCAUUUUUAAAUAUUUUCACUUCUUUAUUAUGGCAUUGCUGUACAACAAAUAUCAAUUUCAUUUUGUUAUUCUUGCUGAGCAUUAUUGCUCAUUCUUGCUAUUCCUUCUAACCCUUUUCAGCUAGGAAUAAAGAUGAUUCACUUAAGACUAUGCAACGAUUGCAAGAGGUUGAGUUUCAAGCAGAUGGACAGGUAGAGUAUUUAGGACGAUGUCAUUAAGACUAGAUGCAGUUGGAGUUCUGCAAUUCAAUUCAGUUGGAAAUUAGAUUUGUUUAUUUGGUUAUCAGCUACUCUUCUUAUCGAGGUUUAGCUGAUAAUGUAGUUUAAUUUGUAAAUAAGAUUUUAUAGUUUUAGUUUCUGAUUUCAAUGCUGUAGCCUGUAUGCGAUCCUGUUUUCAGGGGGUGAAAUUGAUUCUGAAUUAAAGACCUUCUUUUAAAAAAAUAAUAUCCAGGUUUAGAAAUACUUGUUUUUACUUUCUUCCAAAAAUACAGGUUUUAAAUUGUUUUUCUUUUAAUGGCUCAAAACUACAGGUUUUAAAUUAUUUUUAUUUACACGUGGC
rnacentral:lncRNA from 1 species